ACAACACUAGGACUGUCGGUCUACCGAGCAAUUUCACUGGCUGGAUGGAAAAUCUUCCCUUAGUCGU
rnacentral:pre_miRNA from 1 species